UGUGGUAAUAUUGCGCAAUGGRSGAAACUCUGACGCASCGACGCCGCGUGAAGGAUGAAGGCYCUUUGAKUCGUAAACUUCUGUAGAGAGGGAAGAAUGUCCCGUUCUUCGGGAUUGACGGUACCUCUAAAGUAAGGAUCGGCCAACUACGUGCCAGCCGCCGCGGUAAA
rnacentral:rRNA from 1 species